UCCUGGAGGGAUAGUUUAGUUGGUAGAGUGUGAGACUCUUAAUCUCAGGGUUGUGGGUUCCAGACCCACGCUGGGCA